GUGCUUGCUUUGGUAGCAUGUGUACUAAAAUUGGAAUGAUACACAGGUGACUAGCAUGACCCCUGUGCAAGGAUGACACUCAAAUAUGUGAAGUGUUCCGUAUUAAU
ensembl:snRNA U6 U6 spliceosomal RNA